GAAGGACAGAAGGAAAGCUAAAUGCAGUGACGGUUCACCGAGUUGUACUUUUACUUCCUUGCCAGACAGCUUUGAAUCGCAACUCAAGGAUGGAGAGGUGAGGGAUGUUGGUACCGUCAGCGGUGCCGUGGGCCAGAAACAGAGUUCCUCCCUCAAGGCCUUUCAUGCCGGGCAGCACUUUGGACGCCUGAAAAUGAAACAGAGAGGUGAAUGUCGAAGACCUUGACAGUGCAGGAUGGCGUUCUGCGCGUUUGGACUGACGUCGGCGUCGAAGAACAGGCAGUCUUCC